rfam:Triticum aestivum genome assembly, contig: Triticum_aestivum_CS42_TGACv1_scaffold_271455_3DS
UAUAUACUCCCUCCGUCCGGAAAUACUAGUCAUCAAAAUGGAUGAAAAUGGGUGUAUCUAGAACUAAAAUACAUCUAGAUACAUCCCCUUUUAUUCAUCUUGAUGACAAGUAUUUCCACAUGGAGGGAGUAUUAC